GAUCUUGGUCAGGAUGAACGCUAGCUACAGGCUUAACACAUGCAAGUCGAGGGGCAGCAUUGAGAUAGCUUGCUAUUCAGAUGGCGACCGGCGCACGGGUGAGUAACGCGUAUCCAACCUUCCCCUUAGUAGGGGAUAGCCCGGUGAAAAUCGGAUUAAUACCCUAUGUUGUUCGAAGCAGACAUCUAAAUUGAACCAAAGGUUUACCGCUAAGGGAUGGGGAUGCGUCUGAUUAGGUAGUAGGCGGGGUAACGGCCCACCUAGCCGACGAUCAGUAGGGGUUCUGAGAGGAAGGUCCCCCACAUUGGAACUGAGACACGGUCCAAACUCCUACGGGAGGCAGCAGUGAGGAAUAUUGGUCAAUGGGCGCGAGCCUGAACCAGCCAAGUAGCGUGCAGGACGACGGCCCUAUGGGUUGUAAACUGCUUUUAUACAGGGAUAAAGUCACCUACGUGUAGGUGUUUGUAGGUACUGUAUGAAUAAGGACCGGCUAAUUCCGUGCCAGCCGCAGC
rnacentral:rRNA from 1 species